AUGACACUCUCUAAUUGCUUUAUAUUCUUUUUACAUUUUGUCUCCCUCUCUCUCUCCAUCCCUGUCUCUUCCUCUCUCUCUCCAUCCCUGUCUCUUCCUCUCUCUCUCCAUCCCUCUCUUCAUCUCUCUCGCCAUCCCUGUCUCUUCCCCUCUCUCUCUCUCUCUCUCUCUCCAUCCCUGUCUCUUCCUCUCUCUCUCCAUCCCUGUCUCUUCCCCUCUCUCUCUCUCCAUUCCUGUCACUUCCUCUCUCUCUCUCCAUCCCUGUCUCUUCCUCUCUCUCUCUCCACCCCGGUCUCUUCCUCUCUCUCUCUCCACCCCUGUCUCUUCCUCUCUCUCUCUCCACCCCUGUCUCUUCCUCUCUCUCUCUCCACCCCUGUCUCUUCCUCUCUCUCUCUCCACCCCUGUCACUUCCUCUCUCUCUCUCCACCCCUGUCUCUUCCUCGCUCUCUCUCCACCCCUGUCUCUUCCUCGCUCUCUCUCCACCCCUGUCUCUUCCUCGCUCUCUCUCCACCCCUGUCUCUUCCUCGCUCUCUCUCACUCCCUGUCUCUUCCUCGCUCUCUCUCCAUCCCUGUCUCUUCCUCGCUCUCUCUCCAUCCCUGUCUCUUCCUCGCUCUCUCUCCAUCCCUGUCUCUUCCUCGCUCUCUCUCCAUCCCUGUCUCUUCCUCGCUCUCUCUCCAUCCCUGUCUCUUCCUCGCUCUCUCUCCAUCCCUGUCUCUUCCUCUCUCUCUCAUCCCUGUCUCUUCCCCUCUCUCUCUUUCUCCAUCCCUGUCUCUUCCUCUCUCUCUCUCUCUCCAUCCCUCUCUCUCUCUCUCUCAUCCCUCUCUCUCUCGCUCUCCAUCCGUCUCUUCCUCUCUCGCUCUCCAUCCCUGUCUCUCUCUCUCUCUCCAUCCGUCUCUCCCUCUCUCCAUCCCUGUCUCUCCAUCUCUCUCUCUACAUACCUCUCUCUCUCUCUUCCUCUCUCUCUCUCCAUCCCUGUCUCUUCCUCUCUCUCUCAUCCCUGUCUCUUCCUCUCUCUCUCUUUCUCCAUCCCUGUCUCUUCCUCUCUCUCUCUCUCUCUCUCCAUCCCUCUCUCGCUCUCUCAUCCCUCUCUCUCUCGCUCUCCAUCCGUCUCUUCCUCUCUCGCUCUCCAUCCCUGUCUCUCUCUCUCUCCAUCCGUCUCUCCCUCUCUCCAUCCCUGUCUCUCCAUCUCUCUCUCUACAUACCUCUCUCUCCCUCUCUCUCUCUCCAUCCCUGUCUCUUUCUCUCUCUCUCUCUCUCCAUCCCUGUCUCUUCCUCUCUUUUUCUUUCCAUUCCAUCUCGGUCUGUCUCUUUCCAUCUACCACUCUUUCAUCUCUUAG
rnacentral:lncRNA from 1 species